UUCAAAAUCUAAUCCACGGUUAUAUAUCAGCAUGCAGCAGUUUUAUUCACAAUGGAUACCACGAUACCACAGUUUGUUAAGCCUCAUAAUUCUUGAAAAGAAUAAAGCCUGGAUGUUCUCUACCGAAAAGCUCUCUUUACACCAAGUCAAGAGAGUAAUAGCUUCAGCCUUCAAGAGUUGGCAGUUUCUUUAUUUACAAAUUUUAGGCUAAUGAAGUUGAGAUUAUUUUGCAGUGCAAACUCUAGGAUCGUAAGCAAGCAGAUAGCCACCAUUGCCUACAUUACUUUGCCAAAGAGAUUAUGGCUAAAAUUGAGGCCAGCCCAAGCCGUUAAGGUUAGUAUGUGUUUGCUUCCGUUCUAUAAGCGUACAUGUUCUUCAAGUCACCUUGAAUUCUGAUGGUCCAAAUCGACCUUGUGAUACAGUGCGGAAAUUUGGUAAGCUUGGAGGAGAUAUCUUUGGGUAAAUAUUUGUUGGUUGCAAGGCCGCUAAUAGAUACAGCUGAUGAAUGACCUUUUAAGUUGUAUAGAUUCAAGUGUUUUUUGCAUUUUACUUUCCUUGGUCCCUGCUUCUCUACAACAAGGUAUUAUUAUUUUUGUUAUUCCAAGGUAUGUAGGUUGUAAGUAUGGUGUCAAAUGUUCCAGUUCAGGAGAAGAGAUUUUAGCAGCAUUGAAAGGAAAUGUGAGAUUCUAAAUGAGCUAAAAUUGUGAGGUAAUUGAAUAUCGUGUUAGAUAUUGGUUUUGUGAAAUAAGAUGGAGCAAUUUAGAGCAUCUAUUUCCUCUCAGCUUCAGCUUCUUGAGAAAUUUUCACUCAUUCUAGACAUACAAAAUUUAGCCAGUUUAUUUUCCCAUUUGAAGAAUUGAGACACACAAGUUAUAUGUCUGGCAAUUAUGUCGUGAUUCUUAUGAUAUACUUGACCAAAAUUGUUUGCCCUCUAACUGUAACUGUAACUGUAACAAACCCAGUGUAAUCCCACAAUAGUGGGGUCUGGGGAGGGUAAGAUGUACGCAGCUUUACCCCUACCUGGGUAGGGAGGCUGUUUCCGAUUGACCCUCGGCAAUCCUCCUCCUUUAUCCGGGCUUGGGACCGGCAAUGUGAGUGAGCUCACAUAGGCGGAGUUGUUUGCCCUCUAACUAACAAGAGAAAUUUCAGGUAUGAGAAGCUCAACAAACUUCUACUUGACUAGGAAACUAAGAAGAAGAAGAAAAGGCAAAAGUGUCAAUUACAGCAUAUUGAGGCUGCAUUAGACAAGCAAAGGGCGAAAGGAAGGGGAAAUUUCUGUAGUGAUAUGGGAAGGAUUGGAAAGAUAGCAGGAGAAACCAAAGCACAAGCAAAGCAAAAUCAAGAAAAGGAGGAGCUUAAGGUGAAAGAGAAGGCAAAUAAAUCCAGACCAACUGGAAAUUGCCAACACCAUGUUUGUGUGCUAUUACGCAUAAAUGGUACAGUAUUGAGUUUGUCGCAUAUAUCACAAAUGGUUCAUAUUCAUUUGUUUCUAUUAUCUUCUCCCUGCUACUUUUUUCUUUGAAACGAUCUGCGCAUCGCGCGGGAACGUAUAUUAGUUUUUACUUUACAUUCGCAUAUUCAACUUUUUUUUUUUUGGUUUGCAACAGUGUUUAUACACACGAUAUACAACAUAACAUACUUACUGUAGACAAUGUAUCAACCUUGUA